UACGGAGGGUGCGAGCGUUGUCCGGAUUUAUUGGGCGUAAAGAGCUCGUAGGCGGUUCGGUAAGUCGGAUGUGAAAACUCAGGGCUCAACCCGGAGACGCCAUCCGAUACUGCUGUGACUGGAGUCUGGUAGGGGAUCACGGAAUACCUGGUGUAGCGGUGAAAUGCGCAGAUAUCAGGUGGAACACCGAUGGCGAAGGCAGUGAUCUGGGCCAGUACUGACGCUGAGGAGCGAAAGCGUGGGGAGCAAACAGG
rnacentral:rRNA from 1 species